rnacentral:misc_RNA from 1 species
UCCGAGUUGACCCCGCAUGUCAAGCCCAGGUAAGGUUCUUCGCGUUGCGUCGAAUUAAGCCACAUGCUCCGCCGCUUGUGCGGGCCCCCGUCAAUUCCUUUGAGUUUUAGCCUUGCGGCCGUACUCCCCAGGCGGGGUGCUUAAUGCGUUAGCUACGGCACAGAGCGAGUCAAACGCCGCCCCACACCUAGCACCCAACGUUUACGGCUAGGACUAC